GCGAACUGAUUAGAAGCUUGCUUCUAUGACGUUAGCGGCGGACGGGUGAGUAACACGUGGGCAACCUGCCUGUAAGACUGGGAUAACUCCGGGAAACCGGAGCUAAUACCGGAUAACAUUUUCUCUUGCAUAAGAGAAAAUUGAAAGAUGGUUUCGGCUAUCACUUACAGAUGGGCCCGCGGUGCAUUAGCUAGUUGGUGAGGUAACGGCUCACCAAGGCAACGAUGCAUAGCCGACCUGAGAGGGUGAUCGGCCACACUGGGACUGAGACACGGCCCAGACUCCUACGGGAGGCAGCAGUAGGGAAUCUUCCGCAAUGGACGAAAGUCUGACGGAGCAACGCCGCGUGAGUGAUGAAGGCUUUCGGGUCGUAAAACUCUGUUGUUAGGGAAGAACAAGUACAAGAGUAACUGCUUGUACCUUGACGGUACCUAACCAGAAAGCCACGGCUAACUACGUGCCAGCAGCCGCGGUAAUACGUAGGUGGCAAGCGUUAUCCGGAAUUAUUGGGCGUAAAGCGCGCGCAGGCGGUUUCUUAAGUCUGAUGUGAAAGCCCACGGCUCAACCGUGGAGGGUCAUUGGAAACUGGGGAACUUGAGUGCAGAAGAGAAAAGCGGAAUUCCACGUGUAGCGGUGAAAUGCGUAGAGAUGUGGAGGAACACCAGUGGCGAAGGCGGCUUUUUGGUCUGUAACUGACGC
rnacentral:rRNA from 1 species